AUAAAGCUAGAUCAGCAAGGC
rnacentral:miRNA from 1 species